rnacentral:rRNA from 1 species
CCUACGGGCUGCAGCAGUGAGGAAUAUUGGUCAAUGGACGAGAGUCUGAACCAGCCAAGUAGCGUGAAGGAUGACUGCCCUAUGGGUUGUAAACUUCUUUUAUAUGGGAAUAAAACGUUCCACGUGUGGGAUUUUGUAUGUACCAUAUGAAUAAGGAUCGGCUAACUCCGUGCCAGCAGCCGCGGUAAUACGGAGGAUCCGAGCGUUAUCCGGAUUUAUUGGGUUUAAAGGGAGCGUAGGUGGAUUGUUAAGUCAGUUGUGAAAGUUUGCGGCUCAACAGUAAAAUUGCAGUUGAAACUGGCAGUCUUGAGUACAGUAGAGGUGGGCGGAAUUCGUGGUGUAGCGGUGAAAUGCUUAGAGAUCACGAAGAACUCCGAUUGCGAAGGCAGUUCACUGGACUGCAACUGACACUGAGGCUCGAAAGUGUGGGUAUCAAACAGGAUUAGAUACCCCUGUAGUC